rnacentral:rRNA from 1 species
GAUGAACGCUGGCGGCGUGCCUAAUACAUGCAAGUCGAGCGAACAGAUGAGGAGCUUGCUCCUCUGACGUUAGCGGCGGACGGGUGAGUAACACGUGGAUAACCUACCUAUAAGACUGGGAUAACUUCGGGAAACCGGAGCUAAUACCGGAUAAUAUAUUGAACCGCAUGGUUCAAUAGUGAAAGACGGUUUUGCUGUCACUUAUAGAUGGAUCCGCGCCGCAUUAGCUAGUUGGUAAGGUAACGGCUUACCAAGGCAACGAUGCGUAGCCGACCUGAGAGGGUGAUCGGCCACACUGGAACUGAGACACGGUCCAGACUCCUACGGGAGGCAGCAGUAGGGAAUCUUCCGCAAUGGGCGAAUGCCUGACGGUGCAACGCCGCGUGAGUGAUGAAGGUCUUCGGAUCGUAAAACUCUGUUAUUAGGGAAGAACAAAUGUGUAAGUAACUAUGCACGUCUUGACGGUACCUAAUCAGAAAGCCACGGCUAACUACGUG